GUGCGAGACCGAUAGCGAACAAGUACCGUGAGGGAAAGAUGAAAAGAACUUUGAAAAGAGAGUUAAAGAGUACCUGAAACUGCUGAAAGGGAACCGAAUCGUUUCCAGUGUCUAUAAUCCAUGGUAUAUUUCAUUGGCGAGUGAGUGCGUGCAGCGUUUUGGAAGCGGUCUCCGCUCCUGUCGUUGUUGUGCAUUUGCUUGCUGGUGCCCUGUGCUGUGGUGGGACGUCAGAGUCAGUUUGUAUGUUGCGGGAAAUGGUUAUCAGGGAGGUAGGUCGCUUCGGUGGCUGUUAUAUCCUGGUAACUAGCCGUCGUGGCUGAGACUGAGGUGCCUACAACGCGCUUUCGAGUCUGCGGGCUUCUCGUGUGGCUGUUUGCUUUGAUAGCUUGCUAUGUUGGUGAAUAAGUCGUGCGAUUGAGACCUGUAGUAACUUGUUGCUGUUCGGGACUUUGAG
rnacentral:rRNA from 1 species